rnacentral:SRP_RNA from 1 species
GUGCCGGGUCCUACGCGACUCACUCCUGCAAACCCCGCCAGGUCCGGAAGGAAGCAACGGUAGCAGGCUCUUGAGUGCGCAGUGGGUCACCCGGCGCUUUU